CCGCUGAACACGUCUGCCCUGACAACAUGAGAAAAAUGAGUGUGAAGCUCGCAGUACAGCUGCUCAGCCGAAGUACGGCUAUCGGCCUUGAUGUGUACCGGAGACUCAAGCAAGAUGGCCUGGAAGACUGCGAGGGGACAGCCGCGUUUACCCCGCAUCAUAAAUGACCUUUUUGAUGCCCUGAACAUCAAGCUUCCUCGUUUUGGGAUAAGGAGCACAUCCAAGGAAAUUAAGGCAAGGGCGAUAAAUGUGCUACUUUUGAAAGAACAUUCGCAAUAGGUAAUGUUAAUCAGAACUGAGGCACUGGGCAUAUAAAUAAAAUACAAAACGCCGACAAACAUUUACACCAACAAAAGCCUAGUUUAAGUAGACAUUUAUUUUGUAAUUGAAGGAAGGUAUUAUUGAAAGAAAGACGACGAAUAAAGUUCGUGGAACUUAGAACUUCUCCUUCCAGAUAACUGAAUAAACGUCGAUGAGAAGGCGACACGCCGCAAGCGUGA